AUUGAACGCUGGCGGCAGGCCUAACACAUGCAAGUCGAACGCGAGGGGGACGGGGGAGUAAUGUCCGUGAAAAUUUGUGCUGUCGGGGGAUAACUACUGGAAACGGUAGUUAUAAUCGCAUACCAUCAGGGGUGUCCAGAUGGGAUUAUCUUGUUGGUGGGGGAACGGCUCACCAAGGCGACGAUCCCUAGCUGGUCUGAGAGGAUGACCAGCCACACUGGAACUGAGACACGGUCCAGACUCCUACGGGAGGCAGCAGUGGGGAAUAUUGCACAAUGGGGGAAAGCCUGAUGCAGCCAUGCCGCGUGUAUGAAGAAGGCCUUCGGGUUGUAAAGUACUUUCAGCGGGGAGGCGUUACCCGCAGAAGAAGCACCGGCUAACUCCGUGCCAGCAGCCGCGGUAAUAC
rnacentral:rRNA from 1 species